AUGAACGCUGGCGGCGUGCCUAAUCCAUGCCAGUCGAGCGAACGGACGAGAAGCUUGCUUCUCUGAUGUUAGCGGCGGACGGGUGAGUAACACGUGGAUAACCUACCUAUAAGACUGGGAUAACUUCGGGAAACCGGAGCUAAUACCGGAUAAUAUUUUGAACCGCAUGGUUCAAAAGUGAAAGACGGUCUUGCUGUCACUUAUAGAUGGAUCCGCGCUGCAUUAGCUAGUUGGUAAGGUAACGGCUUACCAAGGCAACGAUGCAUAGCCGACCUGAGAGGGUGAUCGGCCACACUGGAACUGAGACACGGUCCAGACUCCUACGGGAGGCAGCAGUAGGGAAUCUUCCGCAAAGGGCGAAAGCCUGACGGAGCAACGCCGCGUGAGUGAUGAAGGUCUUCGGAUCGUAAAACUCUGUUAUUAGGGAAGAACAUAUGUGUAAGUAACUGUGCACAUCUUGACGGUACCUAAUCAGAAAGCCACGGCUAACUACGUG
rnacentral:rRNA from 1 species